CCUACGGGUGGCAGCAGUCGAGAAUCAUUCACAAUGGGGGAAACCCUGAUGGGGCGACGCCGCGUGGGGGAAUGAAGGUCUGCGGAUUGUAAACCCCUGUCAUGUGGGAGCAAAUUAAAAAGAGAGUACCACAAGAGGAAGAGACGGCUAACGCUGUGCCAGCAGCCGCGGUAAUACAGAGGUCUCAAGCGUUGUUCGGAAUCACUGGGCGUAAAGCGUGCGGAGGCUGUUUCGUAAGUCGUGUGUGAAAGGCGCGGGCUCAACCCGCGGACGGAACAUGAGACUGCGAGCCUAGCGUAAUGGCGGGGGAACCGUACUUCUCGUUGUAGCCGUGAACUGCGUAGCUCUCG
rnacentral:rRNA from 1 species